rnacentral:lncRNA from 1 species
GUCUUAAAGAAGAAGGCACCGGUCAGAGCAGCUUUGAACUUCCAUCCCGGGAAGCGGGUGCUGUGGCCCUUGUGGCUAUUUGUCUGAGUCUAAUAAACUACUACAUUUUUUAACUCUUAAGAAAAAAGAAAUUAUAAUUAAAAUAGCACCAAGAAGAUUUAUAGACAAGUCAGUCCUCACUGUGUAGCAACUGCAAAAUUAUUGGUGCUACCGACUUGUCAUAUCCUUCAGUGGACUGGGACCUGGUAAAAUUGUGAAUGAAAUGGUUGUCAGUCAAAGGGAUCACAUUGCCUGAUUCCUCUACUUUGUGGGUAAGGAAAAGGAUUGGCUUUUCUAAGUAUGCACGCAGGAUGCCUGACGUAUAAUAAAUGUGUAAAAGAAGAAA